rnacentral:tRNA from 1 species
GGGGUGAUGGCGCAAUGGUAACGCGUCUGAUUCCAGUAAUGGAGGUUCCAGAAGAUUGGGAGUUCGAUUCUCUCUCGCCUCA